CUUAGAUAGCUUAUUGCAGAAUACUACCUACACUGGACCACCACAUUUGAGAUAUCUUUUUCAGGUAGUUCAGACACAAACCACGACAGCUUAUUGUAGAAUACUACCUACACUGGACCACCACGUUUGAGAUAUCUUUUUCAGGUAGUUCAGACACAAACCACGACAGCUUAUUGUAGAAUACUACCGACACUGGACCACCACGUUUGAGAUAUCUUUUUCAGGCAGUUCAGACACAAACCACGACAGCUUAUUGUAGAUUAUAAUAGAAUACUACCUACAAUGGACCACCAUGUAUGAGAUAUCUUUUUAAUAAUAAUGAUAAUAAUAAUAACACUUUAUUUAUUGAGGAUAAACAGAUAAAGUUACAACUUUUUUCCAAUCUGGUCCUCCUAAACUCUAUAGACACAACAACAAUAACAUUAAACAUGACUAUUUUCAGUACUUCCUAGGAGUAUGAACA